AACGCGAAGAACCUUACCUGGGCUAGACAACGGCGGACCGCCUGAGAAAUCAGGUUUUCCCUUCGGGGACUGCCGGUUCAGGUGUUGCAUGGCUGUCGUCAGCUCGUGUCGUGAGAUGUUGGGUUAAGUCCCGCAACGAGCGCAACCCUUGUCCUAUGUUGCCAGCGGGUAAAGCCGGGGACUCGUAGGAGACUGCCGGGGUCAACUCGGAGGAAGGUGGGGAUGAUGUCAAGUCUGCAUGCCCCUUACGCGUAGGGCUGCUAACAUGCUACAAUGGCCGGUACAAAGGGCUGCUAAUCCGCGAGGAGGAGCGAAUCCCAAAAAGCCGGUCUCAGUUCGGAUUGGAGUCUGCAACCCGACUCCAUGAAGUCGGAGUCGCUAGUAAUCCCGGAUCAGCUACGCCGGGGUGAAUACGUUCCCGGGCCUUGUACACACCGACUGUAC
rnacentral:rRNA from 1 species